rnacentral:rRNA from 1 species
AACGAACGCUGGCGGCAUGCCUAACACAUGCAAGUCGAACGAGACCUUCGGGUCUAGUGGCGCACGGGUGCGUAACGCGUGGGAACCUGCCCUUAGGUUCGGAAUAACUCCCCGAAAGGGGUGCUAAUACCGGAUAAUGUCUUCGGACCAAAGAUUUAUCGCCUUUGGAUGGGCCCGCGUUGGAUUAGCUAGUUGGUAGGGUAAAAGCCUACCAAGGCGACGAUCCAUAGCUGGUCGGAGAGGAUGCUCAGCCACACUGGGACUGCGACACGGCCCAGACUCCUACGGGAGGCAGCAGUGGGGAAUAUUGGACGAUGGGCGAAAGCCUGAUCCAGCAAUGCCGCGUGAGUGAUGAAGGCCUUAGGGUUGUAAAGCUCUUUUACCCGGGAUGAUAAUGACAGUACCGGGAGAAUAAGCUCCGGCUAACUCCGUG